CAAGAAGCAAAUAUGUAUUUAGUUUCGGCCUAAAAGAAGGGACCCCCGUCUCCUUGUUGU
rnacentral:tRNA from 1 species